rnacentral:rRNA from 1 species
CGGACGAUCGACCGCAUCGCCAUAACUGUGGCAGUCGAGCGGUAACAGGCCCUUCGGGGUGCUGACGAGCGGCGGACGGGUGAGUAAUGCAUAGGAAUCUGCCCGGUAGUGGGGGAUAACCUGGGGAAACUCAGGCUAAUACCGCAUACGUCCUACGGGAGAAAGCAGGGGACCUUCGGGCCUUGCGCUAUCGGAUGAGCCUAUGUCGGAUUAGCUGGUUGGUGAGGUAACGGCUCACCAAGGCGACGAUCCGUAGCUGGUCUGAGAGGAUGAUCAGCCACAUCGGGACUGAGACACGGCCCGAACUCCUACGGGAGGCAGCAGUGGGGAAUAUUGGACAAUGGGCGCAAGCCUGAUCCAGCCAUGCCGCGUGUGUGAAGAAGGCCCUCGGGUUGUAAAGCACUUUCAGUGGGGAAGAAAUCCUCGUGGUCAAUACCCGCGAGGGAGGACAUCACCCACAGAAGAAGCACCGGCUAACUCCGUGCCAGCAGCCGCGGUAAUACGGAGGGUGCGAGCGUUAAUCGGAAUUACUGGGCGUAAAGCGCGCGUAGGCGGCGUGAUAAGCCGGUUGUGAAAGCCCCGGGCUCAACCUGGGAACGGCAUCCGGAACUGUCAGGCUAGAGUGCAGGAGAGGAAGGUAGAAUUCCCGGUGUAGCGGUGAAAUGCGUAGAGAUCGGGAGGAAUACCAGUGGCGAAGGCGGCCUUCUGGACUGACACUGACGCUGAGGUGCGAAAGCGUGGGUAGCAAACAGGAUUAGAUACCCUGGUAGUCCACGCCGUAAACGAUGUCGACUAGCCGUUGGGGUCCUUGAGACCUUUGUGGCGCAGUUAACGCGAUAAGUCGACCGCCUGGGGAGUACGGCCGCAAGGUUAAAACUCAAAUGAAUUGACGGGGGCCCGCACAAGCGGUGGAGCAUGUGGUUUAAUUCGAUGCACGCGAAGAACCUUACCUACCCUUUGACAUCCUCGGAAGCCGACAGAGAUGUUGGUGUGCCCUUCGGGAGCCGAGUGACAGGUGCUGCAUGUCCGUCGUCAACUCUGUCGUGAAUGUUGGGUUAAGUCCGAUACGAGCGCAACCAUUGUCCUUAUUGCCAGCGAGUCGGUCGGGAACUCUAGGAGACUGCAGUUGACAGCCGGAGUAGGUGGGGAUCGACGUCAGGUCAUCAUGGGCCUCACUGGUAGGGCUAUCCACGUGCUACAUGCGGUACCAUGGUUUGCAGUCCGAGUGACAAGUCCGACAGUCGUCCAUCCGGAUCCGCAACUGCGACGCUAGACUCGAG